ensembl:lincRNA
AUGGCUUCAAUAAAACAUUGCUCUGGGAAGGCUGACUCCUUGAAAACGGCUCCCGCUGGCGUGAGCACAUAUUCCGAGGGCACGGCGGGAAGAGCCUCUAUUUUCCAGGGUGCGGUCCUCUUGAUGACCUGCCUAACAAGGAGAUACAGGCAGCCAGCAAAAUCGAGAUCAUACCUCCAAGAAGAGGCAGCAGAGGACUUUGGGGAGGACAGAAAACUGAUAGAGGAAGACUGUUGGCCUGAAGAUUUCAGGGUAAAAAAUCAGAAAGAAGAAGUAAGUGGCAAACAAAACAAAACAAAACAGAGAGAAAAGUUAUGCCAACUCAUAUUUUGCAAUGUUCCUUCCAUCUGUCUCUUUAUCUCCAACAUCAUUGUUUUUCAUCCAAGCUCAGUUGCUUACUGCUUCUAUCUGGGUUUAUUUAUUUAUUAAAAAAUUUUUUUUUGCUGCCUCUCAUGGCCUGCAGAGAUCUUAGUUCCCUGACCAGAGAGUGAACCUGUGCCCCCCUGCAGUGGAAACACAGAGUCUUAACCACUAGUCCACCAGGGAAGUCCCAUAACUUCUAUCUGGGACCACAAGAAAUCAAUGUUUCAUCUGUCUCCAAUCCCUUCUGCCAAUCCCAAUGUGUGUGUAAUCCCAAUAUCUAAUAUGUGUGACCCCAUUAUGACAAACUCCCAGUAACUACCUUUUGCCUAUAAAAUAAACUCAAAUCUGAUCUGACCAGUUCUGUCCAACUUUCUCUCUCACAAUCCCAAAUGUUAAACUGUUUCUCCAGCCAUGCCCAUGCUCCUGUGUCUUUAUAUUCACUAUUAUACAUAUUUCAGAAUUCCCAGCUUCCUUCACAUGGAUUGAUUGCCCAAAUUUGUGCCAUCUUGAUUUCCCUCCUGUCUGAGAAAGUUUGCCAUGCAACUAUAAAUCAUCUUACAUUGGGAUUCAUUUGUUGUUAUUUUUUGUUCUGAUUUACCCACUUGAGUGGAAGGUAUCAUGUGUUACAUUUCUUGUCACUGUACUUAGCAUAGCAUAAGGUCUCUAUCCAAGACCCUGAGUCUUGGAAAGAGAGCUAGACUUAGCUCUGGUGUGUCAUUGUGGCUGCUUAGAAGCCUUCCCAAGAUGUCCAGCAAGGCAGGAGGAUUAGGAAGCAUGAGCUCCUGGGGCCUUGUCUUCAACGUAUGCUGCUGCUGCUAGGUCGCUUCAGUCGUGUCCAACUCUGUGCAACCCCUGAGAUGGCAGCCCACCAGGCUCCCCCGUCCCUGGGAUUCUCCAGGCAAGAACACUGGAGUGGGUUGCCAUUUCCUUCUCCAACGCAUGAAAGGGAAAAGUGAAAGUGAAGUCGCUCAGUCGUGUGCGACCCGAGGGACUGCAGCCCUCCAGGCUCCUCCGUCCAUAGGAUUUUCCAGGCAAGGAUACUGGAGUGGUAUAAUUAAUUCUAAAAUCAGAGUUCUAUGAACCUGGGAAAAUUAGCAGAUGGGGACUUCAAGGGACAGCAUCUCCGUCUUCAUUCAUUCUAGGUUAGAGCUUCCUUAAUUGUUUUUGGAAUAAGUCGGUAGAAAUAAAGAGCAAAGAAAUAAAGAAAAGAAAGUGGAAGGAAGGAAGAUACUGAUUUGUAUUUUGUGGGGUUGACUAAGGAAACUUUGAGGGUUCCCUGGAACUUGUCUCUUUUUACUGGAAUUUUUUGAACAAGUCUACAAUGAAUUCAAACUAUGUACCUAGUAAGGAACUCUAGUCAAGGAUGCACCACUCCUUGAAAAUCUCAAAAUCUCAUUAUGAAGAUCAUCUUGAUGCUUUUAUUAAGCCUGUGAAAAGAUGCAUUAAUUACUAUACUAAUUUACAUCCUGCCUUAAAGCAUUUAAGGUAUCUUUAAAAGAUGUAUUAAAUAUAAGAAAGUUUUUUCAAAGCUGAAAGGAAGACCUGGAGUCCAUGCUGACUAUUAGAGAAGACCCCCAUCUCUGCAGCCUGCACCUCCAUUAGCAGCCCCCACCUGCUGCCACCCCACUGUGCAGUUUGGGGGAGGUAUGGAUUCAGUAGAACGAGCAGGAAAUCAGAAGAGUGGCAGCUGUGCUCCCAUGGAGGGCUAUUUUGAGGCCUCCAUGGGUGGUGAGGUCUGGCUUAUGAGGUAUGCUACCUCUGGCCUACAGUCUUCUAUAUUGGAAUGUUUGGUGACAGUGGAACUAUCAGAAUAAUGAAAGCUGU